rnacentral:rRNA from 1 species
UACAGGGGGUGCAAACGUUGCUCGGAAUCAUUGGGCGUAAAGCGCACGUAGGCGGUCUGUUAUGUCGGAUGUGGAAAGCCCUUGGCUCAACUGAGGAAGUGCAUCCGAAACUGGCAGGCUAGAGUACUAAAGAGGAUCGCGGAAUUCCCGGUGUAGAGGUGAAAUUCGUAGAUAUCGGGAGGAACACCGGUGGCGAAGGCGGCGAUCUGGGUAGAUACUGACGCUGAGGUGCGAAAGCGUGGGGAGCAAACAGG